rnacentral:SRP_RNA from 1 species
UUGCAGACUAGAUUGGCGGGUUAGCCCCUCGUUGUUGCCACAAACGGGCUUUAUGGUGGAAUCGAAUCCCAGAGAGAGGUAGAUGUAAUGUCAUAAGCCUCAGUCGUACCAUUGACCCUCUGUCCUGUUUGGUUGGUAUGAUAAGAAAUCAGGUCAGGGCAGGAAUGCAGCAGCCUUAACUUAUUAUAUCGGCGCUUGCAGGUUAACAGAGGAUAGGAAAAACUGAGACAAACUUAUGAUAUAUCAUUUAUCCAUCUCUGGGUGUCUGCAU